AGUCACUGACAUUAGAUACCCCUGUAGUCCAGGGUGUAAACGCUGCAGACUUGGUGUUGGAGGCCCUUUGGGGGCAUUCAGUGCCGGAGAGAAGUUGUUAAGUCUGCUACUUGGGAGUACGUCCGCAAGGAUGAAACUUAAAGGAAUUGGCGGGGGAGCACCGCAAUGGGAGGAGCGUGCGGUUUAAUUUGGAUUCAACACCGUAAAACUCACCAGGGAAGACUGUUACAUGAAAGCCGAGAUGAAGACUCUGCUAGAUUUUCAG
rnacentral:rRNA from 1 species